UCGGACUACUGGCAAUACUUCGUGUGGUACCACAAAUUCCUUCCUGGGAAGCAAAAGUUUUAUACAGUGGGCUUAGCGGCCGUAUGUUGGGCCAUUUGGUUCGCACGCAAUCGAGCUACUUUUGAAAAGAAACAAAUUAAGACUCCUUUUGAGAUUGUGUUUUCUUUAUGUUCCUUUCUACUCUAUUGGACAGGGCUUCAACAAGGAGAGGACGCCAAGGAUCUUCGCGCUGGAGCUGAGAUGAUCAGGACUGGGAUGAUGCAGCUGAUGAAGAUGUGUGGUGCUGUCAAGCAACCAAUCCAAGGUGCCCGAUGCUCUCUGGAGAUGUGCUGGAUGAGGAGAUGA
rnacentral:rRNA from 1 species